rnacentral:rRNA from 1 species
GACGAACGCUGGCGGCGUGCUUAACACAUGCAAGUCGAACGGAAAGGCCCUGCUUUUGUGGGGUGCUCGAGUGGCGAACGGGUGAGUAACACGUGAGUAACCUGCCCUUGACUUUGGGAUAACUUCAGGAAACUGGGGCUAAUACCGGAUAGGAGCUCCUGCUGCAUGGUGGGGGUUGGAAAGUUUCGGCGGUUGGGGAUGGACUCGCGGCUUAUCAGCUUGUUGGUGGGGUAGUGGCUUACAAGGCUUUGACGGGUAGCCGGCCUGAGAGGGUGACCGGCCACAUUGGGACUGAGAUACGGCCCAGACUCCUACGGGAGGCAGCAGUGGGGAAUAUUGCACAAUGGGCGGAAGCCUGAUGCAGCAACGCCGCGUGCGGGAUGACGGCCUUCGGGUUGUAAACCGCUUUCGCCUGUGACGAAGCGUGAGUGACGGUAAUGGGUAAAGAAGCACCGGCUAACUACGU